rnacentral:rRNA from 1 species
AUUGAACGCUGGCGGCAGGCCUAACACAUGCAAGCCGAACGGUAGCACAGAGAGCUUGCUCUCGGGUGACGAGUGGCGGACGGGUGAGUAACGUCUGGGAAACUGCCCGAUGGAGGGGGAUAACUACUGGAAACGGUAGCUACUACCGCAUAACGUCGCAAGACCAAAGUGGGGGACCUUCGGGCCUCACACCAUCGGAUGUGCCCAGAUGGGAUUAGCUAGUAGGUGGGGUAAUGGCUCACCUAGGCGACGAUCCCUAGCUGGUCUGAGAGGAUGACCAGCCACACUGGAACUGAGACACGGUCCAGACUCCUACGGGAGGCAGCAGUGGGGAAUAUUGCACAAUGGGCGCAAGCCUGAUGCAGCCAUGCCGCGUGUAUGAAGAAGGCCUUCGGGUUGUAAAGUACUUUCAGCGGGGAGGAAGGCGGUGAAGUUAAUAACUUCACCGAUUGACGUUACCCGCAGAAGAAGCACCGGCUAACUCCGUGCCAGCCGCCGCGGUAA